rnacentral:rRNA from 1 species
UACGUAGGGUGCAAGCGUUAAUCGGAAUUACUGGGCGUAAAGCGUGCGCAGGCGGUUUUGUAAGUCUGUCGUGAAAUCCCCGGGCUUAACCUGGGAAUGGCCAUGGAAACUGGCGAACUGGAGUGCGGCAGAGGGGGGUGGAAUUCCGCGUGUAGCAGUGAAAUGCGUAGAGAUGCGGAGGAACACCGAUGGCGAAGGCAGCCCCCUGGGCUAGCACUGACGCUCAGGCACGAAAGCGUGGGGAGCAAACAGG